GUUGUCAUGUUUCCAAGGACAUCGCUGAAAGGAUGCAAAAUGGUAAAUAAACCACAUGACUGUGAAAUAAUUACAAGUAACCAAUGAUUUGUGCAAGUGUUUUAUUUAUAAUUUAUUUCCCCAGAUCAAAUGUUCCUUUCCUCUGUCAUGGAGAAAGUGUCAGCUGUUGAAACAAAAGAUACACAUUUACUCAAUGAACAAGAAUAUACAGGAAAUAAUUCUUGAGUGACACUGACCACAUCUACAAUCUUCUCUGCAAACAGCUCUCCUCAGUGGCCCAGCUUGUGCUGAAAAGCUUCUCCAACCUCCUAUUCCAUGUCCCACUACCUCCACUAGGUCGCCGGCACCCCUAAACCUCAGUUUUGUGAAACCACCAUCCACCAGCCAUUACUACCACUAGGCCCCCUGUACCACAUCCACCAGCCAGUGCCCCAUUACUACCACUAGGUCCCCUGUACCACCAUCCACCAGCCAGUGUCCCAUUACUACCACUAGGCCCCCUGUACCACCUCCACCAUCCACCAGCCAGUGCCCCAUUACUACCACUAGGCCCCCUGUACCACCUCCACCAUCCACCAGCCAGUGCCCCAUUACUAACACUAGGCCCCCUGUACCACCUCCACCAGCCAGUGUCCCAUUACUACCACUAGGCCCCCUGUACUACUUACCUCCACUGUCAAGGACCCAUCACCUUCCACUCUGCAACCUGGUGCAGUGUGUGGAAACCCUUCAGCAUCCAUUCAACCUUCAUCCCCUUCCUUCCAGUCAGACAAGCAUGAAUCUCAAGAAAUAACACAUACAAUGACACUAUUUCUACUGGACCUUACAAAAACUCAUCAGCACCUUUAUUUUCGGAACAAAAUGGCAUUCUAUAAAAAAUACAAAACUUAUUCUCACUAAAGGGCUACAACUUGUCAAGUGAGAAAAUUUGAAGCAAACAUGUUAACUUUGGAAACAUGUUAACUACUUAUAAGAGAGUGAAAGACAGGCACCGUGCAACUGGGGAAGGGAAGAUCACCUGGGAUUACUAUACAGUAAGUUGAAGAUUGCUUUACUUUGUUUCUGAAAUAACAUUGUCAUGUGUUACAAGACUGAAACAUUGGUCAUUUUCAUUUUACAUCCGCCCCCACCAGCUAAUGGAUGAAUUAUUUGGGUCAUCAGGGAUCGGUACUGCACCACCUGGCUCCAUUCACUCCACACCUCUGGGUUUGGAAGGGACCUCUUCCACAAGCAGGCCCACAACGUCUUCUCUUCAAGACCAGCCGGUAGGUGCUAGUAUGGAUUAACAGCCAGGAACUGCUACCAUUCAAAAUGCAAACAUCACAAGAAGGCAAAGACGACCACAACCCUUACAAUUCUUGGACACUUAUGAAGAGCAUGCAGAGAGAAGGACUGUUGUGCUUGAGUCCCUGGUAAGGCCAGUUCUGGAGAGAUGGCGGCGACUUAAAAAGAGGCGGAGAAGGUCCUUGAAAAAAAGAUGGUGACCAGCUUUGGAACAAUUGUGGACCAGCAAAAAAAAAAUGGGGAAAAGACAAGAGCAAAUUAUGCAUCUAUUACAGAACCCACACGAACCCCAAUAAAAUUAUAAUCUAAAGAUGUUAUCUCUUUUGAUUUACACCUUUCCCCAAAAUGUCCUAUGCCCCCCACCCCCCAAAUAACACUUUCUAAUGACAAACUAAUUUUGUUCAACAAAACAAAUUUCUUUAUUUCAACACAAAAUCUGUUUGUUUUAUCAUUUGUUGAAUAUUUCUGAACAUUCAAAUCUUUACUUUUCAUCUUUUGUUUUGAAUGUUAAGUAUACACAUACAAGUUCGAUCUGGCCACAAAUCUGGUCUCUAUAAUGACAUGCAUUAGUGUUGUGGGGUUGCUGGGGGUAUGGUUCAUCAUCAACACCAUCACCUACCACAACAACUUGAUCACUGGGCUCUAAACAAAGAUUAUGCUAAAUGCAGCAGGCUGAGACUGCUGAGCUGAUAUUAGAAAUGCUUCUCAUUUGCAGGUAAUGGAGCCUCCUAAACUUAGAUUUUAGAAUGCCAAAUGCAUGCUCAAUGACCACAUAAGAUGCAUUGAGCUUUCUGUUAAAAUAUCUUUGCCUAGCAGACAAGUGGCCAUUGUCUCUAUAAGGCCUCAUAAGUUGAGGCAACAAAGGGUAGGCAGAAUCCCCAAUUAUGUGCAUUCCCUGUGGAACAAGUGAAUGAGGAUCUUCUUCAAGAACAGGAAAAACUUCUGUGAAGUGAAAUGCUCUGGCAUCAUGCCAACUCCCAGGGUGACCCACACUAAUGUGACAGAAACUCCGCUGACUGUCACAAAACCCAGCUAAAUGUACAGAAUUAAACUGUUUCCUAUUCAUGUAUACUAUGGAAUUAUCACAGUGGGGUCUCAUUAUAGGAAUGUGACACCCAUCUACUGCACAUACAGUGUUGGGGAAACCUGCUGUGUCAAACCCUAACUUUGACAUCUCCAGCCUUUGACCUCUGGGCCAGGAUAUGUGGUGGGCCAUGUAUGUGUUAAUAUUGUAACAAAACUCAUGGAGAUGCUUAGCAAGAGUGGAUUUUGACAUGUUAAAUCUAUCUGCCACCCCACGAUAUGACUCCUGAUUCACCAAUGUCCAAAGGCAGGCAAGAACACUGUUCGUGAGUGGCAUUUUGGUCUGUUGAAAAUUAAUAUACACAGGACCAAGGGUAGUGAUGACAUCCUGCAAAGGUAGAAAAAUAGGUAAUCAAGACAACAUGCUAACACUUGUAAUAGUUCAAUGAAUUUUAUAUCAACCAGUCCAGUAGAAACCUCAACUUGUUCUCUGGAAAGCCUGAAAUGACUUCUAAAUUCUGAGAGACUGUAGAGAGGGACAACAUCCUCCACAAAAUUGUCUAUUUUUGGAACCAUUCUAUAUAAGAACAAGAGGAAUUGUACUUACUAUAUACAGUACAUGUAGCCUUCCUAAACACACAUGUAACAUUAGUCAAACAUUUAUCAUCAGUGUUUUAUGUUGAAUAGGGAUUUUAAUUAAAUAAUUAGUCUAUACAGAAGUGUUAAAAUUUAAGUAAAACUCCAUUAUUUAUUUGUCAGAAUGAGUCAUUCUCUCUAAUUAAACCAAAAUAAUAACAAUUAUUGUUAAAAGGCAAGCAACAAUAGCUAUUGAUUACAAAAAAUAAUUGAUUUUCUAUUGCUUCCAGCUCGUCUGCGAUCAAGUAAGCAAACACCACGUGAUCUGCCAUGACUGACGUAAUUGCAGCAAACUACGGGAGCCACAACGUGUCCGGCUUCAUAUCUCCAUUUGCAGCUCCUCCCCAAGGGGCAAGGAACUCGACCGGAAGUUGAAGUCGGGUGGGGGCUGCCAUCUUUUAGCAGAACUUCACUUGCGUUAGCAUUCCCAUUGACUCCCAUUCAUUUUGGCAUCACUUUGACAUCGAAUAACUUUACAUCUGAGGCGUUUAAAGACUCUGUUUGUCCAUUAUUUAUUUCUAAAGAUACACGAAAAUGUAUAAAGGGCUCCAUUACCUUCUAUGUUACAUUAUGGCCCCGUAUAAACAGUUUUUGUAAAAAAUAGGCUAACGAUUGCGUCAUAACCACUCGGCUCUCUGUCGCAUUACCGUACAGACAGGAGGAGAAGCUCGCAGGCAAUUAACUUAAUAUGGCAUACUGGCGUUACAUUUUAAAAUACUAUACAAAAUAAUUAAUCAGAAUACUUACUCCUGCUCACUCACGACAAAGAACUCCCCGCUCAAGCUCGCCGUCUCUGCAAGAUUAACGAUGGCAGUUUACACGCACAGCCACUUAGAAGAUUUACAUCUGUCAGACAGGUUGCUGACGUCGUCAAGCUUUGUUUGAGUCUGCGCAUCAGAAACGGAAGUGCUAAAAAACGCUAAAACUGGGCUUCAUUUGUCUCAAUUGAGUUCCAAUGGGGUCACUGUGUCCAUUUCUUUUACUGUCUAUGCUCCUCCCCACCUGCACGCGGCUACUCUCGCCGAUCCGUUGCAUCCAGCCACAGGCGAUGUCAAACACACCUCUAUACUUGAAGUUGGUGGAGAGCAAAAAAAAAAAAAAACUGCGCCCGACUGCAGAAUCCGAUACGUGAGCCUUGCGCUCGCGAGAGUUUUUUGACAUACGUCAGCAUGACCUCAGAGCAAGGCGGACGUAACUCGGACACUUUUCUAACUGGCAUGCAUCUCGCGCUGAUCACCGGUGAUCGGUUCUGCGCAGAUUUUGCUUAUCUCAAACUAGCCUAUUAAUACUGUUCCAGGAACAACUAUUCGGAUGGACUCAAAUCUGUUUUGGCGGGACAUCCGAGAGGUGACGAUACGUUAAAGCGGAGAAAUUAUAAACAAACAUCUUUAUAGAUUGUUAGAAUUAGGUUAGAUCUAGUGGAGGAAGAAUUUUGUGGGAGUAUCGGCCGACGGCCUGUAUAGGUCCGGUGUACGAUAC
ensembl:lncRNA